rnacentral:rRNA from 2 species
CGUAAGGGUACUGCGGAGGGAUCAUUACACAAUAAAAUACGAAGGCCGUUCGCGGCUGGACUAUUUAUUACCCUUGUCUUUUGCGCACUUGUUGUUUCCUGGGCGGGUUCGCUCGCCACCAGGACCACAAUAUAAACCUUUUUUAUGCAGUUGCAAUCAGCGUCAGUAUAACAAAUGUAAAUCAUUUACAACUUUCAACAACGGAUCUCUUGGUUCUGGCAUCGAUGAAGAACGCAGCGAAAUGCGAUACGUAGUGUGAAUUGCAGAAUUCAGUGAAUCAUCGAAUCUUUGAACGCACAUUGCGCCCUUUGGUAUUCCAAAGGGCAUGCCUGUUCGAGCGUCAUUUGUACCCUCAAGCUUUGCUUGGUGUUGGGCGUUUUUGUCUUUGGCCCGCCAAAGACUCGCCUUAAAAUGAUUGGCAGCCGGCCUACUGGUUUCGCAGCGCAGCACAUUUUUGCGCUUGCAAUCAGCAAAAGAGGACGCAAUCCAUCAAGACUCCUUCUCACGUUGACCUCGGAUCAGGGG